UUUAUCAAAUGAUGAUAUGAUACAUAGUGCAAUAUGGUCAGAACAAGGUGUUGCAUAAUACAAGCCCUGGAAAGAAAGGAAGUCUAAUCCAUAGAUCUUUUUCCGCUCCUUUUCUAUCCAAUUAGUUUAUGUUUGUUCUAAUUAGAAAACAAACAAGAACAAAUCUUUUAUUUUUGCGGGCCAAUCGCUCUUUUGACUUUGGAAUACAGUCUCUUUAUCAAUAUACUGUUUCUUUUACACAUUCAAUUCAUAACAUCCCUUUUCAAUCCAUAAUCAAGAAUAAUUAGGAUUUCUAAAAAAAAAAAGUAAAGGGUCCACUCAUAGGAAAACCUAACCUUUCCCCGCAUCAGGCACUUAUACAUUUUUAAUGUCUAAUUAGAUCGGGGAAUCCUUCCAAUUAAGAAGUUAAGCUCGUUGCUUUUUAUUUUAUCAGAAUUAGAGCCAGGCUCUAUCCAUUUAUUCACUAGACCCAGAAAAUCAAAAAAAAUUAUUCAAAAAAAAAGAAAUUAAUUGUAUUACGACAUGCUAUUUUUUCCAUUCAUUACCUUUGAGGAUCAGUCGUGGUCUUCUAGACUCUACCAAGAGUCUGGACGAAGUUGUUGUUUCAUCCAAAUGUGUAAAAGAUCAUAGUCGCACUUAAAAGCCGAGUACUCUACCAUUGAGUUAGCAACCCAGCUAAAAUAGGAUCUCUUAGACACGAUCGAAAUCCAAAAAUCAAUGGAAUUACACCGGACGCUCCUGUCAAAACAUUGAAUUAGCAAGACAUAAAAAGAAAGAUUUUAUCACCCAUUAAAAACACUCAAAUACCAAAAUGAACUGAUCCCGUGCAAUUUCACUACGGGUAAAAAAGGAGCGGCCGCAAUCACAAUGGCAAAAUUGUCAUUUUUUUAGCAAUUUUUAUAUCUUUAAAUAAACAAAUCUUCUAUAGAGAGUACAUGCAAGGGGGGCAACCCUAUCAUUUGAGCGAAGUGUAGAUAGAAAUACCUAAUAUGGAGUGAUGAUAAAGAGAUCCAGCUAUCUACAAAUUCUAUUUGUUUAAUAGACCUUUGUCAAUGGAAAUACAAUGCAAUUAGAUACAAAAAGGAAAUAAAAUAAGGACUUUUGUUGGAUUGGCACGACAUAAAUGCAACAAAAAAAUAAGACUAAGAAAGAGGUUGUGUCUAAGAAAUUAAGAGGUACUAGCGUCCCCUCCUACUUUUUUAUUCAUUUAGUUCUUCAAUUAACUCAAAGUUCAUUCUUUAUCUUUAAAGAAUUCUGCUUUCCUUAAAAUAUCAUAAACUAUUCUUGUAGGUUGAGCACCCGUUUCAAGGAAAUAGAGAAUAGCUGGAACAUUUAAACAAGUUUGAUUCUUUAUUGGAUCAUAAAAACCCACUUUUUGAAGAUCUCUUCCUUCUCUUCGAGAUCGAACAUCAAUUGCAACGAUUCGAUAGAUAGCUUAUUGGGAUAGAUGUAGAUAAACAACCCCUCCCCUAGAAACGUAUAGGAGGUUUUCUCCUCAUACGGCUCGAGAAAAUGAUUCUAAUUUCUAUCUAUAAUACUAAUUUCUAUCUAUAAUAUAAGUAGAUAGAAAUUAGGUUAUGACUUGCAUUAAUUUCCUUAAAGAAAAGAAAAAACAAAUUUCAUUUAUACUCAUGACUCAAGUUUGCUAAUUUUGACUGAGAGACUUCAAAAGAAAAACCCUUCAAAAUUUUUUGAGUCGUCUCUAAACUCUUUUCUUUAUCUCAUCUCGAACAAAUUUACUUUAUUCCUUAUUCUGAUCUAAUUCUAUUGUUGAGAUGGUUGAAGAUCGUGUUUACUUGUUCUGGAAUCCUUUAUCUUUGAUUUGUGAAAUCCUUGGGUUUAGACAUUACUUUGGAAAUUCCUAUUCUUUUUUCUUUGAAAAGAGUAGCAACAUACCCUUUCUUUUUUCUUAUUUCCUUCAAUAAAGCAUUUCACUCUUCUAUAGAAAUCAAAUAUGAACGAUUGAUUCAGAUAGACUUUUAAUCGAAAAAGUUUUUCCAAUCUUCCAAAAUUUGAAUUUUUUCUUAUUUUAACCUUUUUAUUUCUAUAUUAACGAUAGACUGACAAAGUUGGUCUAAUUUAUUAGUUUUCACUAACCCUAGAUUCUUUCCCUUGAUAAAAAAGAAAUUCUGUCCUCUCGAGCUCCAUCGUGUACUAUUUACCUACAAACAACCCAGCGCAAAUUAGGUUCGGGACAAAUAGAACAGACUAUGUCGAGCCAAGAGCAUUUUCAUUACUAUGGAAAAUGAUGGAUAGAAAAAUCCACAAUCGAUCAUGUCCUUCAAGUCGCACGUUGCUUUCUACCACAUCGUUUUAAACGAAGUUUUACCAUAACAUUCCUCUAAUUUCAUUGCAAAAUGGUAUCAAGAAUUGAUCCAAUAUGGAAGGAAUCAUGAAUAGUCAUUGAUUUUGUAUACUAAUUCAAACUUGCUAUAUAUGGAGAAAUAUGGAUAAAAGAAAUAAUAUUUAUCAGGGAACACUCUGCAAAGAUCCAAUUUAUUUAAAUUCAUAUUCUAUCAUAUGAAUGAAACAUAGUUCGAAAAAGAAGAAUAAAAUAGUUUGCUUAAGACUUAUUUAUUAUUUCAUUUCCAUUCUCAACAGAGAACUCAAGAUGAUCAAUCCUGAAAUGAGAAGGAUCGACUCUUCCCCAACAAAUAAACUAUCAACCUCCAGUUGAAUUAAUUUAAUUAAUUCAUAUAUUUUUCUGUAACAAAAAUAAUUAACUAUUAACCAAAUAAGCUAUGCCAAUGAAAAGAUUGGUAGUUUUGGGAGAGUUAUAAAAUUCUCCCACUACUUCG
rnacentral:lncRNA from 1 species